CCUCUUCCUUUCCAUCCACCUCUUCCUGGCCUGUCUCUUGUUCUUUCUCUUCAUUGUUGUGUGUUGGUUCAGACUUGACGGCUUAAUCAUGAUAAUAUUUUAGA